rnacentral:rRNA from 1 species
UGAGGAAUAUUGGACAAUGGGAGCAAUCCUGAUCCAGCCAUGCCGCGUGCAGGAAGACAGUCCUAUGGAUUGUAAACUGCUUUUAUACAGGAAGAAAAAAUCUGACUUGUCAGAUAUUGACGGUACUGUAUGAAUAAGAAUCGGCUAACUCCGUGCCAGCAGCCGCGGUAAUACGGAGGAUUCGAGCGUUAUCCGGAAUCAUUGGGUUUAAAGGGUUCGUAGGCGGGACAAUAAGUCAGUGGUGAAGGUUUGUGGCUCAACCAUAAAAUUGCCAUUGAUACUGUUGUUCUUGAGUUAUUGUGAAGUGGUUAGAAUGUGUAGUGUAGCGGUGAAAUGCAUAGAUAUUACACAGAACACCAAUUGCGAAGGCAUAUCACUAACAAUAUACUGACGCUGAUGAACGAAAGCGUAGGUAGCCAACAGGAUUAGAUACCCUGGUAGUCUACGCUGUAAACUAUGGUUACUAGCUGUUCGGAGCACAUUAGUGCACUGAGUGGUUAAGCGAAAGUGAUAAGUAACCCACCUGGGGAGUACGUUUGCAAGAAU